GAGUUUGAUCGUGGCUCAGGAUGAACGCUGGCGGCGUGCCUAACACAUGCAAGUCGAACGAAGCACUGUAAACGGAGAUUCGUCGAAGUUUGCUUUGACUUAGUGGCGGACGGGUGAGUAAUGUAUGAGCAACCUGCCUUUCAGUGGGGGACAACAGUUGGAAACGACUGCUAAUACCGCAUGAUGUCAAUUGGGGGCAUCCCCGAAUGACCAAAGGAUUUAUUCGCUGAAAGAUGGGCUCAUAUCUGAUUAGCUAGUUGGUGAGGUAACGGCUCACCAAGGCUGCGAUCAGUAGCCGGACU
rnacentral:rRNA from 1 species